GGGCGGACAUACCAGAACGAAGCCCUGGCUGGAAUGUGAGGAGGGGCGGUGUUUAGCUGGGGUGUGUCUAUCUUUAAAGGCAACUGUAAAACGCGGGGAGGAAGAAGGUAGUCUGUGAAGGGCUGGGUUUAAUGCAACUGCUGAAGGGCAGAACAGUUUUCCUCUCCGAGAUGUGAUGGAGGGUCAAGUGAUAUUCUGGUAGAUCUGGUGAAAAGCUUUAAUUGGAGCUUUAUUUCGCUCCAGGGAGGAACAGGGUGGUAUCAGAGAGCAGGAGGGAUCAGCUGAUGGGCCUUACCUCCUUUGCUGUGCUCACGCUAAAUUGCACCCACAGCAAUCUUGCUGUGCCAUUAAUACAUUGAGGUCAAAGAGACGACAAGACACAUAAUUAACUUAAAAGAAUCUUCUGUUUAGACAGCUGUAUUUAUUAAUGCAAGUGCAAGACUUAGGUUUGCACUUUGGAAGAGAUUGUGACAAUUUCUUAAUGCGGAUAAUCUCAGGAAUGAAAAUUCUUAGUGUUUGACAUGAACCAGGUGGACAUAAAAAAUGAGAUUAUUAUGCAUUAAUGGUUAAUUAAGCAGAUAUUUUAUAAGUUUUCUAUUAGAAACUGACAGGAAGGUGGAUCAGACCUUGAAAUUACUAUGAUGAACAACAACAGGACCAGGUUGCUGAGUGUAAGCUCUGCUCAGUGCUAGCAAAAUUAUGUUUGUUUUUAUCUGUGUGUUCAGCACAAAUCCAAAACACAGCUCUUCACUGAGCCCCUGUGAGGAAAAUUUAAUCUGGCCCAACCAAAACCAGCACAACACCCAGCCCUGGGUGUCCUUGAGGAGCCCAUGAUAUGUGGACAAAUGGAUUUCAGGUGUAUCUACCAGUUCUGUCUGUGAUGGUGGCAAUAUUUUUCUUCCUAGUUUUAGCUCCUGUAGCCUCGUCUCCAAACCUGCAACAUGUUUAUGCUUUCUUCUUUAUGCUGAGAAGUGUUAUUGUUUACCUGCCUUUUAUACGUUUUAAAUUGCAUUUUGCAUUUCUUGAUUAAACUGCUAACUACUUAGAGCUCCUGCUAGAAAUCUCUUCUGCUGAUGGAUCUGCAGAGGGCAGAUGUGAAUAGUGUUUAAUCCCAGUAUAACUAAGAGCCAACAGAGGAUUUUGUUGAACUGAGAGCAUAAAAGGUACAAGUUACAUGUGAUAUACAUGUACAUGUAUUGCAUCCCUUUAUACGUGUAUAAAUAUAUAUUUAUAAAAGUAUAGGCAUUAGCAUAAGGAGUUAGUAUGUAUAUAUUUUUGUCUCUAUGUAUACAUACCUAUACAUAAAUGUAUAUGCAUGGCAAUUUAGUAAGUGCAGAGUCUCACCUAAACUUGUAAAAUCUGAAAAAUGUUCUCUCUUGCCCUAAAGACAGUUAAAAUAACAAAUAAGACUAAAUUACAACACAAGUACUUAUUAGUAUUAUCAUAUAAUAAAUGAGUAAAUACAUACUUAACAGCAUCAUUAUGUAAAUAUACUUUUGGUCUCCAGACUCCAUCAAUGUGGAUUAUUCUUGGUUUGUAGUUGCUCACUUAUUAGAACUUCCAGUUUAAAAGGCUUUAGUCUUCAUCUGCUAAAUUUUUUUUGUUUGAAUAUAUUUUUAAUAAGAAUCUUUUAAAAGCAUAAUAAAAUUGACAGAUCUUUUUUAAUCCCCCAGAAAUUGUGCAUUUUAUCUAUUUUAGAACAGCACAUACAAAUUCAUGAUGAAAUCUUACACUAUUUUCUUCGUUUUCUUUCUGGUUGCUUUAUUCUUUAUUUUCUUUUUGGUGUUAUUGGGAAGUAGGAGGCCCCUUCCUCGCUUUUUAUAUUUUGUUUAUGAAAGCAAAAUACAUUAUUUUUUCUUUUGAUAAAUAGCCCAUAUUAAUUUCAUACAAUAUUUAAUCUUAAAAGCAAAGAACCAUUGCACAAGAAACAUCACAUACUUAGGUGAUUAAUAUAUGCUAGUAUUUUUAUAACUGGAAUAGAAUUACAUAUGUAAAGCAAUUUUUCAAAAUUUUCAAUGAAAGCUCAGCAAUACAACCAGUAGAUGGCCCCAGCCUAACAUCUUCUUUGCACAGUGGUGCUCUGGUUUGCUGGAUGGGUGGAAAAGUUCUUGCUAGAAUACUCAAUGCACUGAUGUAUAAAAAAAUAGGGAUCAGAAUGAUGGGUAAAUAUUUUAUUCAUAGCUGCCCAAAUUAUAGGGUACCCUUCCAUACAGCUGGGAACCAACUGAAUGUUAAACUGAACAUUUAAGGAGAUUUGACUUAACACAAAUGAAAACAAGUGUGUGAAGAAAGCGCCUUUUCUCACAAGUGGUAAGACACACAGAAUGAAAAUCUGAAGUAAAAUUUAGAACAUUUAAAAUGCUGUAGGGAGUAAAGUCUGUGUAAGUGAGAAGCUGAGCUGGAGAUUGGAUCCUGCUGAAAGCAAGACAAGAAUCAAUCUGUAAUUUCACUCAAUAUUGCUAUUGGACAAAGCAUUUCUCUUGCUACUUAAAUUUUAAAAAUCACAGGAGGCAAUGAAGUUUUCCUUUAGUAAUAUUUUAAGAAUUGAAUUCUACCGAGUCAUAAAAGGAAAGAAGGAUCUUUACUGUGAGCAAAGCACCAACCAGGGAUUUAUAAAUGCAGGUAGUGCCUGGCAGUGCCACAGAUUUUCAACUAAUCUUUUUCAAAUAAUUUAUUAAACCCAUAUUUUGAUACGGAAAUAAAAGUAAAAUUUAUAGGGAACAAAAGGUGUAUGUGACAAUAAUAUUGUGCUGUAGCCCAGAUGGUUAGAUAAAGCAAGCAUCAGGGGGAAGUU